CUAGGAGUGCCAGAAGUGUUAUGGGGUCGGUUUAGGACCGAUUUAUGGCUGUAGUCCUCUUAGU
rnacentral:tRNA from 1 species